rfam:Hammondia hammondi strain H.H.34 contig_6 apicoplast, whole genome shotgun sequence.
GUUGAAAUAGCUCAAUGGUAGAGCAAAGGACUGAAGAUCCUUAAGUUAUCAGUUCAAUUCUGAUUUUCAACA